rnacentral:ncRNA from 1 species
UCUUAGUAAGUCAAUUAUUUGUGAUUGAUUAUUGAGUUUACACAAAAAAAAAAAAAAAUUAACAUAAACCUAUACAUAAGGGAUUCGAGUCAUAAGUGAGAUAUCACUCUGAAAAGAUUAGAACUCUAUCUAACCUUGUAUCAAGACCUACGAGUUAAAAAGGACAGUCUCAGAUAGAUAAUUUCUAUAUAUGAAGCAUGGGUCUUUCAAAUGGUAAUAAAGGCGUGCAAGGAAUUUUAGCGGGUCGAACAUAGAUUGACCCUCAAAUGCAAAUGCAAAAGGGGGAUUGGCUUCAUGAUCCACCUAUUAAGCAAGGAUGAAAGUCAGCCAUAGUGAUCCAACAGUGCUGAGUGAAAGGAUAGUCGCUCAAUGAUAAAAGUUACUUUAGGAGAUAAUAGAUUGAUCUUCACCAAGAACUCGCCCAAUGUAAAGAUUUGACAAGUUGAUGUUGGCUCCUCGCCACAUGGAUUUGUAGUAUGUUGGGUUGAAUUGUUUACCCUGCUAGAGUUUUUUGUC